rnacentral:rRNA from 1 species
GAUGAACGCUGGCGGCGUGCCUAAUACAUGCAAGUCGAGCGAACGGACGAGAAGCUUGCUUCUCUGAUGUUAGCGACGGACGGGUGAGUAACACGUGGCUAACCUACCUAUAAGACUGGGAUAACUUCGGGAAACCGGAGCUCAUACCGGAUGAUAUUUUGAACCGCAUGGUUCAUCAGAGAAAGACGGUCUUGCUGUCACUUAUAGAUGGAUCCGGGCUGGAUUAGCUAGUUGGUAAGGUAACGGCUUACCAAGGCAACGAUGCAUAGCCGACCUGAGAGGGUGAUCAGCCACACUGGAACUGAGACACGGUCCAGACUCCUACGGGAGGCAGCAGUAGGGAAUCUUCCACAAUGGGCGAAAGCCUGACGGAGCAACGCCGCGUGAGUGAUGAAGGUCUUCGGAUCGUAAAACUCUGUUAGUAGGGAAGAACAGAAGUGUAAGUAACUGUGCAUAUCUUGACGUUACCAAAACAGAAAGCCACGGCUAACUUCGUG